AUGGCUGCUUUACACGGUGAUCUGCCAUCAAGGAGACCCAGCAAGGCCAGUGCACCCCAAACCUGUGCACCCGUUGCUGAUAUAAGGAGCCAGGGCGUUGGGCAAGCAGAUGUCGUAACAGCAAAUGCCUUCUGUCGGCCCUGCCAAGAGCACAGCCACUGGACACGGAACUGCCCUGGGUGUCGAAGGACUCCUGGUUCAGAACUACAGACCCUGUGGCCCCGAGCUAAAAAGCCUUUGGCUCUGCCCAGCCUCUGCCCAGCUUCCAAUUCCAGCCACUGCUACUGGGGAUGGUCUAGGACUAAAAGCUGUUAACUCCAAAUGGUCGUCAGACAAGGCUUCCAGCCCAUUCCACUGGACUACCUGAACAGCCCUCUGGACCAAGCAGUACAGUCUUUCCAAGGCCACUGUUGCACACUGUAAGACAGGUAGCAAGAGGAAAUACCCAAAUCCCCCUCGAUGCCCACAUGCCAGCUUCGAAGAAGUUACAGAAGACGGAACUCCAUCCAUAAUCCCAAAGAAGAAUUUUGGGUAUUACCUCUUGAGGGGAAAAUAUUAGGCAAAAAGUCAGUUAUGAGCUUAUGUGUGUGUGACAUAAAGGCCUAAUGUGCCCACCAUAUGCAUCCACAUCUCAGUCAUCCUGACAAUGUUUCACAGACAGCCUGGCCUUUGCAUCCUGCCCUGCCCCCUUCUACCUGAUAACCUGCCAGGUGGAGAUCCUUCUGCCUGACAAAUCUUCCACAAUCUCCCAGAUGCAGCCCAGUAUCUGCAUUUCAGUAUUACAGAACAGGCGGGGGUUGAAUCUCAUUCUCAUAGGUGGGGGGUGUUAUGCGCGGCCCUGAAGAAAAAAUGUUGUUUUUAUGCUGACUGAACCCAGGUGGUUAGAAACUCCAUGGCCAAACUCAGAAAACGACUGGAAAAACGGCAAUGGGAGAGGGAAACUCAACAAAAAUGGUUUAAGUCAUGGUUCGGCUGGUCCCUAUGGCUUACUACCCUACUGUCAGCCCUAGCAGGACCCUUAAUUGUUCUACUCCUAAUUGAAACCAUAGGACCUUGUGUGUUAAACAAACUCAUCACCUUCGUGUAAAAACAAGUUAAAAAUGUUAAACUCAUGGUCAUAAGACAAUAAUAUGUCACAUUAAAAGAGACAAAAACAAAUAAUCUCUAAGAUUAGAGAUCCUCACAACAAGGAGUGGGGAAUGAAGAGUUAAAAUUGUAUAUGUGCGGGUGUAAAAAGUUAAGCUUAAGCUUACAGGUUUAAACCUUCCUAGUGCAGCUGUAAAAAUAAAACACUGAAGUAGCACCUUGACA
rnacentral:lncRNA from 1 species